ACUUCGUUCCAGCCCAGCCGCUUCUUCUCUUCUCUCUCGCUUCGAACCGACGACCUCGACUUCGAACGUGGAACGGCGGGUGGCAGUGGCGACUAUCUCUCCUUCUCGUCCAGCAGAUCGAAGCCAGCGGAGGCGACAACGGAUCUGGAGAUCGAACAGCAUCGGCGAAUCUGGAGGGCGCUGGCUCGGAGCUCCGGUGGCGGCAUAGGCAGUAGCUGGCGAGGGUGUUGGAUCGGAGCUCCGGUGGCGGCGUAGGCAGUAGCAGGCUGGUGGCGAGGGUGCUGGCUCGGAGCUCCGGCGGCGGCGUAGGCAGUAGCAGGUUCUGGCUGGUAGCAGUGCUGAAUGAAGUUGACAAGCUCUCAAGAGAAGCUCAGCAUUCUCUUCGAAGAACAAUGGAGAAAUACAGCACGUCAUGCCGUCUGAUUCUUUGCUGCAACAGUUCUUCAAAAGUUACAGAAGCUGUUCGUUCUCGAUGCCACAAUGUGCAAAUAAAUGCACCUAAGGAAGAAGAGAUCACUUGAAACAACUAGCAAGCGAUUCCAACAUGCCUCAGAUUAUGUAUUUUCUUAAUGGGUUUUGCAAUGAAGUGAAUCCUAUUGUACAUGCCUCAGUAAAUCCAUUGUACUUUGCAAUGAAGUGAAUCCUAUUCCAACAGCCAUUGCAGCAAGAAAAGCAAGUCGAAUGGCUUCCCGUGCAAGGUGGGUGGAGGAGUAUCAUGUUGAUGGCUCCCAUUUUCAUUAAAUUCCAUCAAUGUUGUAUACACACAACAGAUUUGUAUCAUUUAUUGGAUUUGCAAUACUCUACCAAAAUCAAUCAAAAAUGUUACUUUCAGACUUUAUGUAAUUGCAUUUUGUAUGUAUUUUACAAUAUUGUGUUUUGAUGAUAUAUUAUUGUAUUAAAGUUUGAUUAAAGUUUGAUGAUA